rnacentral:piRNA from 1 species
CUCUUUCCGGUGGAGAAGUCUGGAGAC